CCGUUUUUUCCCGGUUUUUCCCCCCGUUUCUCUCCCCCCUCACCUCCCGGGGCUCUCCCGGUACAGGGGGCUCUUGCUGUGCCCGAAACGGCGCCUGCGGAACCGGAAUCCCCCGUUACCAUCCCCCGCCCCGGAAAUUCCCGCCAAAACACACGGAAAUUCCCGCCAAAACCCACCCCGGAAUUCCCGCCAAAACCCACGGAAUUCCCGCCAAAACCCACCCCGGAAUUCCCGCCAAAACCCACGGAAAUUCCCGCCAAAAACAACCCCCGGAGUUCCCGCCAAAACCCACAGAGUUCCCGCCAGAAUCCCCAGAGUUCCCGCCAAAACCCCCGGAGUUCCCGCCAAAAUUCCAGAUUUCCCGCCAAAACCCACGGAAUUCCCGCCAAAACAAACCCCCAGAAUUCCCGCCAAAACCCACAGAGUUCCCGCCAAAACCAACCCCCGCAGUUCCCGCCAAAACCCCCGGAUUUCCCGCCAAAAUUCCGGAUUUCCCUCCAAAACCCCCGGAGUUCCCACCAAAACCAAACCCCGGAAUUCCCGCCAAAACCCCCGGAAUUCCUGAAAAAAUUCAGGAAUUCCCGCCAAAAUCCCCGGAUUUCCCGCAUUUCGGGGUCAGAAUUCCAGGAUUUUGGGGGAUUUGGGGCAAAAAAAAAAUUCCAAGAUUUUGGGCCGGAAUCCCAGGAUUUCAAGCAGGAAUCCCAAAAUUUUGGGGAAUUUGGCGCCGGAAUCCCCGGAUUUGGACUGAAAUUCUGGGAUUUUGGCGGGAAAUCCGGGAUUUUGAGCCGGAAUUCCAAAACUUUGAGCAAGAACCCCGGGAUUUUGGUCAACUUCGCACCGGAAUUCCCAAAUUUGGGCCGGAAUUCCAGGAUUUUGAGCCGGAAUCCUGGGAUUUUGGCGGGAAAUCCAGGCAUUUUGGUGGGAAGUCCUCGAUUUUGAGCCGAAAUUCCGGGAUUUUGAGCGGGAAAUCCUGGAUUUUGGCGGGACUUCCAGAGAUUUUGGCGGGAAAUCCUGGAUUUUGGUGGGAAAUCCAGAGAUUUUGACAGGAGAUCCGGGAAUUUUGGCGGGAAAUUCCGGGGAUUUUGAGCGGGAAUGCCGUGAUCUGGGGCCGUUCCCGCCGGGAAUCCCGUGGUGUUUUUCCCGGGAAUCCCGUGGUGUUUUUCCCGGGAAUUCCGUGUUUUUCCCGGGAAUUCCGUGUUUUUUCCCCCCCCCUCCCCCACCUGGCUCUCUCCUCGCGGCUCCGCCGUUCCCGGCUCCGGCUCCUCCGGCGCUCCCGGCUCCGGCUCCGGUGGCG
rnacentral:lncRNA from 1 species